CCUUUUUUUUUUAACAUUAAAAUAAUCUGACCUAAAAUAUUCUAAACCUAAUAAUCGUAUACUCUCUUUCUCCUACAGGCUACAGCCGUUUCUCCUACAGACAACCAUUUCAUCUCCUACCGAUUCCUAACGAUUGAGAAUCGACUGAGCCCUUGUCGACCAGUCGUCGGCCUACUUCAGGCACCUUAACAGCGACCAUCUCUUCAAUCGCCUGAGAAAUCGACCAUCUCUUUAACGGAAUCUUUUGCUGCAUUUCUGUUGGCCAGAAAUGAUCAAAUUAGUAAUUGAAGUUAGGACACACUUUGCUGUUUGGUGUUUUGUUAUUUGUGGGUGAUUGUGGAUGGCAAUGAAUUGUUAAGAGAUAGGGUAGAGAACUAUGCCAUGAGGUUGAAAGAUAUGGGUAAGAAUGUUGAAUAAGAAACUUGAUAGAGAAGAAGAAAAUACAGAGAAAAAAACUGAGGUUGAUAGAUAUUUGAUGGAGCAAUGUGUGGAUGUUGAUGAUGUUGAUUUUGAUCUUUUGACUUGGUGGAAAUUAAAUGCAUCAAGAUUUAAGAUUCUUUCCAUGAUUGCUCGAGAUGUUUUAGCUAUUCCGGUCUCUACUGUUUCCUCCGAAUCUGCAUUCUCUACAGCAGGACGUGUUGUUGAUCCUUUUAGAUCUUCAUUGACACCAAAGACAGUGGAAGCACUUAUCUGCAUUCAAAAUUGGAUUCGUUCUAAACCAAUAUAGACAUCUGAAAUUCAUUAGAAGAAGUGGAAAGUCUAGAAGAAGAAAUUUUGAAGGGUGUUGCUGAAAUUAAACUUGAUUGAGUGAAAAUGAAUUCUAAAUACAAGAACAUGAGAAAUAUGGAGCAUUGGAUUUGGAACAUGGAGGAGCAUCGAAUUUGGAUUUGGAACAUGUGUUUUUUUUUAAGCUGAAAUGGAUUUGGAACAUGUUUUUUUUUUUUUUUUUUUUUUUGCUGAAAUGGAUUUAGAACAUUUUUUUUUUUUUGCUGAAAUGGAUUUAGAAUAUCGAACUUGUUUUUUUUAGAUUUGGGUUAUAAAAUUAUCCCUUAUGGACUGGUUGUGUA